GGCAGGGGAAUGGAACCGGCCACACGUCGCAGGGCCGAGAGAGGCCCUCCUGGCGGCGUCUGGAGCCAAGCGAAAACUCGGACGGGAAGCUCGGAGAGAACCCCGAGGUGGAGGCGUGGCUGGAGAGCUGGGCGGAGUAGGGGGUGGAGCCCCAGAGCCCGCACGGGGCGCUUCCGAGAGAGGGUGUACACAUUUUGGAGAGCAGAGUCCAUCGCCCGAGGUGGCGGGGUCUCCAGGGUGGCCUAGCACAACCGAUCACCUGCACUCUGGGUGCUUCUUGUUUGUUCAUUCACUCAUUCAACAAAUGUUAUUGAACGCCCAUGAUGGAAGGUAAAAGAGAGCCCUGCAUACUGCUGUGUGACCUGGAGCAAAGACAACCUCUCUGAGCCGCUGCAUCUUUGGCUGGAAAGUGGAGAUAAUUAUACCCCUCGAAGCUGUUGUGAAGGUUUCAUGAGGUACUGGAGUUCAACGAUGAUGAAAACGGCUGUCAAGAAGUCAUAGUCUAGUGGGAGAGUCUGACAAGUUCACAGACUGCCUGAGAUGAGGUAGGGUGUUGUGGAGAAUCAGCACCAGCCCGGGAACUAGCAGAUCUGCAUGCUACCUAUUUACUGUUUGACCUUGGCCAAAUCUCGGGCUUCAAGUUUAUUCAUCUGUGAAGGAGAUGGAGGGAGGAGUAACCCUGAAUAAAGAACAUAUUAGGUCC